CAGCAGCCGCGGGAAUACGAAGGGGGCUAGCGUUGUUCGGAAUCACUGGGCGUAAAGGGUGCGUAGGCGGGAUCUUAAGUCAGGGGUGAAAUCCCGAGGCUCAACCUCGGAACUGCCUUUGAUACUGGGGUCCUUGAGUCCGGAAGAGGUGAGUGGAACUGCGAGUGUAGAGGUGAAAUUCGUAGAUAUUCGCAAGAACACCGGUGGCGAAGGCGGCUCACUGGUCCGGAACUGACGCUGAGGCACGACAGCGUGGGGAGCAAACAGGAUUAGAGACCCCUGUAGUCCCUGUCUCUUAUAC
rnacentral:rRNA from 1 species